GACGAACGCUGGCGGCGUGCCUAACACAUGCAAGUCGAGCGGAGACAGUGAGUAGCUUGCUAUGAGCUGUUUUAGCGGCGGACGGGUGAGUAACGCGUGAGCAACCUUUCCCAGACAGGGGAAUAACACACCGAAAGGUGUACUAAUACCGCAUAAGACCACGGAAUCACAUGGUUCUGAGGUAAAAGAUUUAUCGGUUUGGGGUGGGCUCGCGUCCGAUUAGGUUGUUGGCGGGGUAACGGCCCACCAAGCCUUCGAUGGAUAGGGGUUCUGAGAGGAAGGUCCCCCACAUUGGAACUGAGACACGGUCCAAACUCCUACGGGAGGCAGCAGUGAGGAAUAUUGGUCAAUGGACGAGAGUCUGAACCAGCCAAGUAGCGUGAAGGAUGACUGCCCUAUGGGUUGUAAACUUCUUUUAUACGGGAAUAAAGUGAGGCACGUGUGCCUUUUUGUAUGUACCGUAUGAAUAAGGAUCGGCUAACUCCGUGCCAGCAGCCGCGGUAAUACGGAGGAUCCGAGCGUUAUCCGGAUUUAUUGGGUUUAAAGGGAGCGUAGGCGGACGCUUAAGUCAGUUGUGAAAGUUUGCGGCUCAACCGUAAAAUUGCAGUUGAUACUGGGUGUCUUGAGUACAGUAGAGGCAGGCGGAAUUCGUGGUGUAGCGGUGAAAUGCUUAGAUAUCACGAAGAACUCCGAUUGCGAAGGCAGCUUGCUGGACUGUAACUGACGCUGAUGCUCGAAAGUGUGGGUAUCAAACAGGAUUAGAUACCCUGGUAGUCCACACAGUAAACGAUGAAUACUCGCUGUUUGCGAUAUACAGUAAGCGGCCAAGCGAAAGCGUUAAGUAUUCCACCUGGGGAGUACGCCGGCAACGGUGAAACUCAAAGGAAUUGACGGGGGCCCGCACAAGCGGAGGAACAUGUGGUUUAAUUCGAUGAUACGCGAGGAACCUUACCCGGGCUUGAAUUGCAACUGAAUGAUGUGGAGACAUGUCAGCCGCAAGGCAGUUGUGAAGGUGCUGCAUGGUUGUCGUCAGCUCGUGCCGUGAGGUGUCGGCUUAAGUGCCAUAACGAGCGCAACCCUUAUCGAUAGUUACCAUCAGGUUAUGCUGGGGACUCUGUCGAGACUGCCGUCGUAAGAUGUGAGGAAGGUGGGGAUGACGUCAAAUCAGCACGGCCCUUACGUCCGGGGCUACACACGUGUUACAAUGGGGGGUACAGAAGGCAGCUACACGGCGACGUGAUGCUAAUCCCGAAAGCCUCUCUCAGUUCGGAUUGGAGUCUGCAACCCGACUCCAUGAAGCUGGAUUCGCUAGUAAUCGCGCAUCAGCCACGGCGCGGUGAAAUACGUUUCCCGGGCCU
rnacentral:rRNA from 1 species